rnacentral:rRNA from 1 species
UACGUAGGGUGCAAGCGUUGUCCGGAAUUAUUGGGCGUAAAGAGCGUGUAGGCGGCCCGAUUAGUCCGCUGUGAAAGUCCAGGCUCAACCCUGGAAUGCCGGUGGAUACUGUCGGGCUAGAGUCCGGAAGGGGCGAGUGGAAUUCCUGGUGUAGCGGUGAAAUGCGCAGAUAUCAGGAGGAACACCAUGGCGAAGGCAGCUCGCUGGGACGUGACUGACGCUGAGACGCGAAAGCGUGGGGAGCAAACAGG